UUUUUUUUUUUUUUUUUUUUUAGUAGCAAAUCCGGCUUCAGUCCUUUAGCAAUGGAGACACGAAAGCUUGACGCCAGCUGAUGCCCAUUCCACCACCCACUUUUGUCACUGGUGGGCAAAGAGAUUCUCAGUGUUGAAAAGGCACUUGGCCUUGGGAGUUUCACUGAAUGAAGGCAGGGUUUUCAUGUCUGUGGCAGCAUGGGCAGGGGGAAGGUGGAGGCAGCCUAGGCUGGAGGGGGAGCAUCACUGGCUUGAGAGCCAGGAUGCUGGGGUCUGGUCCUGCUCGACCUUGUGACGUGUGCCCCUCUCUGGGCCUAGCAUCUUCAUCCAUGAGUUGGCUUGCUGUACACGUAUAUCCAGUGCCUUUUCUGGGCUGGGCCCUGAGCUGGGUCUUAAAGCCUGAGUAGGACAAGGGGGAAGGGACAUUCAGGUUGUGGGACCAGUAAAUAUGGAGGCUUGAAAGUUCUGGAAGAAGUGGGAGAUUUGAGGUACCUUUGUCUGGAGCUAGAACACAAUGUAAAUAUUUCCUCCAGGUCUCAGAAAACUCUUUGCUGGAGUUACCUGGUGGCUCAGUGGGUUAAGGAUCAGGCAUUGUCACUGCUGUGGCUUGGGUUGUGGGUUCAGUCCCUGGCCUUGGAAGUCCCACAUGCCACAGGCAUGGCCAAAAAAGGGAGAAAAUGCUUUGCUUUCUUCUUCUUCUUUUUUUUUUUUUUUUUUUUUUUACAGUUCCCUUUGGGACCCAGCUCUUUAUUUGUGCUUCCUAAAUUGAAAAUCCUUUCUUUUAUGGAAGAUUUGAAUCAAAGUUUAGUUCCUUUUUUUUUUUCAAUAAACUUUUUGAUGAUGGCUAUUCCUUCUUUUUAAUUACUUAAUGAAUUUUAUUACAUUUAUAGUUGUACAAUGAUCAUCACAACCCAAUUUUAUAGCAUUUCCAUCCCAAAUCCCCAGUGCAUCCCCCCACCCCCCAACCUGUCUCAUUUGGAAACCAUAAGUUUUUCAAAGUCUGUGAAUCAGUAUCUGUUCUGCAAAGAAGUUCUUGUGUCUUUUUUUUAAGAUUCCACAUGUAGGUGAUAGCAUAUGAUGUUGGUGUCUUGCCAUCUGAUUGACUUCGCUUAUUUAGCAUGAUAAUUUCUAUGUCCAUCCAUGUUGCUGCAAGUGCCGUUAUUUCUUUCCUUUUAAUGGCUUAGUAAUAUUCCAUUGUGUCUAUGUACCACAUCUUUAUCCACUCCUCUGUUGAUUGACAUUUAGGUUUUUUCCAUGUCUUGGCUGUUGUAUAUAGUGCUGCAGUGAACCCUGGAGUACAUGUAUCUUUUUGAGUCAUGGUUUUCUCUGGGUAGAUGCCCAGGUCUUUGCUUUCUUUUAAAUGAAAUCUGAUGUUUUAUGUAGAGAUUCUGAGGUAGGGAGGGACAAUGCAGACAUAUUCUGUUUAAUGUCAUAUUAAUAUUUUGUAUUAAACCUACCUGUAUUAAUACCAACUCAUUCAUGUUAACACCUUAUUUCAUUGUUACAAUGUGACUGUGAUAAUAUAAUCAUAGGAAAUCUUCAUGCACCUCUUCCUGUGGGUCAGUGCAUGUAUUUGCUGGAGCUGCCCUGUCAAAAUACCAUAGACUAGGCAGCUUAAACAACAGAAAUUAAUUUCCCCACAGUUCUGGAGGCCAGAAGUCCAAGAUCAAGGCGUCAUUAGGUUUGGUUUCUCACGAGGCCUCUCUCUUUGACUUCAGAGGGGCUGCCUUCAUGCUUGUCUUCAUAUGGCAGUGCCUCUGUGUGCACCCCUGGUGUCUCUCUGUGUGUCUGGAGUGCCUCUUGAUAAGGACAGCGGCCUCCUUUUCUAAUUACUUAAUUACCUCUUCAAUGACCCUCUCUCCAAAUACAGUCUCAUUCUGAGGUGCUAGGAUUAGGACUUCAGCAUAUAAAUUUUGGGGAGACACAGUUCAGCCCAGAGCAGCCAGGCACAUGGCAAAGCACUUUAGGUUGCCUCAUUUUAUCCUCACAGUAGUCCUGGGAGGGAGCUGCUAUUAUCACCCCCAUUUUACAAAUGAUGAAACUGAGGCUCAGAGAAGUUGGGUCACUUGCAGAUGCUCACACAGCUGCUCAUGAUGGAGCAGGAGUUUGAUUCCAGGCUGCCUUGGAAUGCCCCCCCACCCUCCGCCACCCCAUAUUUGUUAAUGUUUAUAUUUGACAGGAAUCCUAGGGAGGCCUUUUUUUUUUUUUUUUUUAACCUCUCAAAAGCUAUUGAACGUACCCAAUGUUUCCUCAUUGCCUCUCUGUACUCUGCCUUGUCCUUGUUUUAGGUGUGAUUGGAAAAGACCCAGAAAGGGAGGGAAGGCCCUUGCCAGACGCCAGUGCUGCCCCAGCUCGCCUGGGCCCUCGCAGGCCCAUUGGCCAUCUUCCCAGGAGGGGUGUGCCGGGGGCCGCCUGCUCCCUGCUCUGCUCCCAACCGCCUGUGUUUGCUGAGAGCAGCCUGGGCCCGGUGAAAGCAGCCUUUGUCCUCCAGUCCAUUCCUCCCAGAUGGGUGACCUAAGUCCCAGCUUGGGAACAAAGCGGCGCCCUGCCAUGUGAGUGCAGGUCAGCCCCAGUGGCCUGCAGAGUCUCCCAGACUAGGCUGGCAGGGGCAGUGGGGGUGGCCUUGGCUACGGGGCUGCAGAGUUAAGUGGGGUCCAGAAGGCAACAGAGCCCUCCUGGGUCCUCAGUGGUGAUGCCAGGGGCUCCUCUGAGCACAGGAUUUUACAGUUCAUGGAGUUCUUCCAUGCUUUCUGGGUUGGUGGAGCCUUGGAGAGGCAGGUAACAGUUGUCACAGGGAAGCACCUCAAAGCAUAGGGGUACAAGUCAACCCCUAUUUACUGGACUCAUAAUAUUUGCUGGGUCAGGAAACUGGGCAGGGCUCUGUGGGGACAGCUGCUCCGUGAUAUGUGGGGUGUCAGCUGGGAGCCCUAAGCAGCUGGGGCUGGAGGCUUCUUCACACACUUGUCUGGUGCCUCUGACAACCUGGAGGCCCAGCUUUCUGGGGCUGCUGUCCAGGCACCUGCUGUAGCUUGGGCUUCCUCACAGCGUGGUGGCUCAGGGCUCCCAGUGCUAAGAGGACAGAUUCUGCAUCACCCUUUAUGAUGGAUGCAGCAUCAGGCAUCUGCUGCUAUUCUCUGUUGAUGGAAGCAUCACAGGCCCCCCGAGAUUCAGAGGGAGAGGACAUGGACCCCACCUCUCAAUGAGAGGAGUGUCAAAGAAUCCAUGUUUCAAAGCUGCCACGGCCAGAAGUAAAAGUAAAAUUACAAGGUGACAUUUACUGAGCACUUACAAUGGGCCAGGCCCUGUGCCAAGGGCUUCCCGUGGGUGAACGAACCUACAUAAACCUCCCCAUAGCUCCAGGGAGCACUAGAUGCACAGCCGGAUGUUUUCCUGACAAGCUUUUGGCCUGAGAGGGUGGAGGAUCCCAGGGAAAUGAACAGGCUGCCAUUCGGCUGGUGUUGAAAAUGCCACGGUCGGAAGCUGUGGGCUGAUUACUCCUCUAAACUUAGAAUAUUCCUUGAGUUCUUGAAAAUUCUCACUGAGCCGUCUGAUUCAUCUCCUUCUCACUCACCACUUCUCCCCUUUGGUGUUUGUGUCAAGUGGUUUCUCUCCCCUGGGUGCCGAUUUCCCCCCCAUCGCCCCCACUCUGCAGAUCAUGGGGAGGGUGCCUCACUUUUGAGGAACCAGCAGCAGGGGCCUCACGGUUCUGAUGAAGGAGCUGAGGCAUCCCUCAGCCCUGUGCGCGCACCAGCUUUGCUGUGCCUCUGGGGCCAGGCCCGCCCAGGGCUCCUUCAUCUGCCUCCCAAGGGCCUGACAUAUAAUAGGUACCCAAUAUAUGUUUGGAGACUCGAACCCCAAAACAGUGAGUGAAGGAUGACAGUUGGCUCUUGAAGGAUGGAAAUUCUCUCCUGUGCAUCUCUGCACCCUUGGUACACAGUAGGCACUCAAUACAUGUUCAUUGUGCCAAAGGAAGGAAGAAGGAAGAACUGGGCGAGUGAGACCACAAGCAGCGACUGGGCCUUACUGUUUUAUCCUUAUCACGUGACUAAGUGCUUGCGGCCCAUUCAUUCUGUGGGCAGACGAUGAAUGAGCGAUCCAGCAACCUCUCCAGGAGGAUGUGUCUUCUUUCACAUCUCUGUCCACAGCCAGGCAUACAGCAGUGCUCAGUAUUGCCUGCGAAGCUGAAUGAAAGAAAGAGGGAAUGAAGGAAUGACUCAGUGAAACUUCCCAUCAUCAGAGCCUUGUGCACCUCUGUCUCUCCAGUUCCCAGCACAGAGUCUUGGCCUACAGUAGGUGCUCAUUCAAUGCUGAGCCGAGUGAAGGAAUGAAUGACUGAAUGGAUGACUGAAUGGAUGACUGAAAAGUGAAACUUCUUGAGGGUUGGGACGUGUCUUAUUUGUUCCCCCAGUUCCUAGAAUGGAACUUGCACACAGUAGGUGCUCAGUAAAUGUCUCUUGCACUGAACGUGUGGAUGAGUACGUAAAAGUAGACUUCUGGAAGAUAGAGCCUGUAUCUUGUUCGUUUGCCUCUUUCCUCGGGUGCUCAUACAGGGCCAGGCAUACAGAAGAUGCCUAGCAAAUGCUUCCUGUUCUGCCCCAACCUUUGUGGGGGCGUCCGUCCACUCCUGAGAAUGGGCUGAGAGGGGAAGGCGGGUGGACCUCACCCUUCUCUAUCAGCCGCCUCCCAGCCCCGGGCCUUGCGGCAGGCUUCCUGUUGUUCCCCUCCUCACAGGUGGACAGGAAGUCCCCGGAGGCCUGUCGGAGGGCUGCUUCCCAUAUUUUCUUCAUGCCGGGCUGGCCCUGGUGGGACCCAGGCGCCACAGUGUGCCCUAGCGCCGGCUGGCUGAAGAGCCGUGCCCCCCAGGGACCAGGCUUCCUGACCACAUUAGCAGUUCUAUUUUGGAGCCUACCAGGCCGUUUGUGCACAAGGCAGGUGAAGCCUGGAAGAAUGUUCUAUGUGGAGCCAUCCCUGAAAACCCCCUUGUUCUGAUGCCGGCCAGGCCUGUAAAGCUCCUCACAGCUGAGCAGCAGGAACAGAGCCAAGAGUCAAGGCUUUGGGGUCUGAGAGAGCAGGGUUCAAAUCUACUUCUAUGGUUUUAAGCUGAGCCUUGGUUUUCUCAUCUGUAAAAUGGGUGUUAUAGGACCACCCCCACUCCCCGCACAGGGAUCCUUUUCUCCAAUCUUGGCUACAUAUCUGUUGCUCUUUCAGAUUCUCCUUGCUGAAACUGCGCACUCCCAGAGUUAGGAUUUCAGUAGAUUCCCAGCAAAUGUGUUUAAAGAACUGUCGCCCCAGUUGAUUCCAAGGGGUGGCAUCUCAGGCUGGUUCUGGAGACAAGGAUCCACGUGUUGUGACUUAAGGACAGAGAGCUUGGGUCGGCCCGAUCCCUGGAGGAGUUCUGAGAGUCAGUAGCACCAUGGAAUAAGCCCACCUUGGAGAAACAGGGCAGCCAUUCCUCCAAUGGCCAAGGUCUGCUGUUGGAGAAGCGGGGGCUGUGAGCUAUGGCAGCCAGCACCCCUGGCCCCAGGUCGGGGGGGCCCAGCUAGGACCAGGGGUCUGGGUGCAGCAUUUUCCAUGGUUGGUCAGUCGGCCUGAGAGAGUUCUUGACUCAAGGCAGUGAGACA
rnacentral:lncRNA from 1 species